rnacentral:rRNA from 1 species
GACGAACGCUGGCGGCGUGCUUAACACAUGCAAGUCGAACGGAAAGGCCCUGCUUUUGUGGGGUGCUCGAGUGGCGAACGGGUGAGUAACACGUGAGUAACCUGCCCUUGACUUUGGGAUAACUUCAGGAAACUGGGGCUAAUCCCGGAUAGGAGCUCCUGCUGCAUGGUGGGGGUUGGAACGUUUCGGCGGUUGGGGAUGGACUCGCGGCUUAUCAGCUUGUUGGUGGGGUAGUGGCUUACCAAGGCUUUGACGGGUAGCCGGCCUGAGAGGGUGACCGGCCACAAUGGGACUGAGAGACGGCCCAGACUCCUACGGGAGGCAGCAGUGGGGAAUAUGGCACAAUGGGCGGAAGCCUGAUGCAGCAACGCCGCGGGCGGGAUGACGGCCUUCGGGUUGUAAACCGCUUUCGCCUGUGACGAAGCGUGUGUGACGGUAAUGGGUAAAGAAGCACCGGCUAACUACGUG